AAAAAGAAACGAGAAAGGAGAAGGUUUAAUUGAGCUCAAAUUUUUUUGGCUCUCUCAUUCUCUCUUCUAAAACCAGAAUCGGACCCCCAAUGACGAACCCUAGCAGCCUUCUUCCUCGAACAAGAAACAGGGACGGCGUCAGACCCCUUUCCCUUUGAAAAAGAACCAGCCGCCAUUUCUAACGUCAAAAUUCGAGUAAGCUGUACAAUUGCAGUCAACUAAGCACGAUUUCUCGCAUUCUUCAAAGUUUUGAAAUAAAAUAGUUGCUAAAAAAUAGGAUAGAAAAGGGAUUUCGGCAAUUGUUUGAAUCCACUGCUGCUCGCUUCUAUUUUCUGGGUUCCUAAGCAUUAUUUUGGUCUAAAGUGCUGCUGAUCUUGCUGUGACCUGUUGCUGAGCUCCAAAUCGUAGCUGUUUUCAUCCUUCUUGACUGUUUUUUAUCUAAGCUCAACUUGAGAAUCAAGACUUUCCCUGAAUUAAUGUUUCGUUCAAAGCUUGGGGAGAUUAAUGCUCAGUUAAGAAAGGAAGGGGGGCUGAGAAGUAUCUUAUCCUCUUCUCUUUUAUGGUCCAACCAUUUCGGUCUUGGAGGUGUUGUUGAUAGUUCGAGUCUUUUUCUGUGGAUAUGGUAUACUGACAAAAUUAACAUGGAUAAGAUUGAAUCUAGAGUGGCCGAUCUCGUAAAGCAGCAUGAUUCGAUGUACAAGGAUUUCCUAAGGAAAGGAAACAUAGCUGAAUGUGAAGCUGUAAAAGCAGCACUUCUAUCUUAUCCAAAGAUUUCUGUUAAACUGGGAAACAUGGUUGAAAACAUAUGAAGGACAUGUGAAUACCGUGGGAGAUUAAAAAUCAUGGGAAAUACCACAAAAUGUACAAUCUGAGAUCACAAAACCUCCCGAUGUAGAUAUUUUACAAGGAAGAAGACAAAAGAAGGGGCAUAUACCUGCGACUGAAUCAUCAGUACCAUUCAAGUCUACCAAAUGCAGUCUAUGUAAACAAGUUGGGCAUAACAGAACAACUUGCUUGUCUUCUCCAGCACUUCAUCCAUAUUCUAAGAAACACGCUGAAAAAUACUCCAAGCUUCAAUAAUCCUUGGUCUGAAUUUAGACUUUCUUUAUUAUAUGACAUAAUUGAAAUGCGAUUUUUUUCAUAGGAAUAAAAAAAAUAAGGUCUUGGACAAUUUUAUAUACUGCUAAAGUACAAAUCACUCAUUUUUGUUGCGCAGGCUUGCAGGUUUGGUUGCAUAUUAAAAAAGUACGCAAUGACUUCUACGAGAAAAAACUUCAGGUUACAGUACGUGAAAUACAUAUCCUUAAACAAACACACACACAUACAAACACUCUCACACAUAUGCGUAUAGCACACAAAAAGAAACGCAUGUACAAACAAAAGUUGUAGCAUCUCUAAGAAACUAAGAAGUAUAAAGCAAAUAUCAACAAAAGAGGGUGACAAUUACAUUGAUAUAAAAAGAGGUCAGAACAACACACAUAUUACAAACAAAACUUCAGCUCUCUGGGCUGAAGUUAUACAAAAUUAACCUAAAAAACUUCAGCUCUAUGGGCUGAAGUAAACAAAAAUCAUACCAUUGGAACAUAAAAAAAGGAUUACAAACACUAACAAUCAUCACCAUCAUCAUCAUCAUCACAGUACUCCUCAAUUUUCUAAAUAUCUCAUCAUCAUCACUAUCGGAGAUAACUAUAGGGUAGUCGGGCAAAAGACUACUGAAUCCAAGAAGAUCAAUCUUCAUCUUGUUGAAGUGUGAGUGGUACAAUAACAAACCGAUGGCUAAUCUUAUGCUUUUGUGGGAUGAAAUAAAGGCUGAUUGGGAGAGAAUUAGACCAAAGCUCUGUGCCAAUCAAUCAUAUCAGAAUAGGCUUAACAUGGAACGUAGUUGUGGAGAUAAUUCAACCUCGUUCGACAAGGUUGUGCAGCAGUUUGAUAGUUUUCAGUUUCCCAGCUGGAACGACUAUUCCAACCUGCAAAACAAACUGAAGACUCUUCUUCCUCUUAUGGAUAGAGUAAUCGUCGAACAAAGUCAACUGCGUGAUGAAUUCAACAAGUUGAAGAUUGAUCUUCUUGGAUUCAGUGGUCUUUUGCCCGACUACCCUAUAGUUAUCUCCGAUAGUGAUGAUGAUGAGAUAUUUAGAAAAAUUGAGGAGUACUGUGAUGAUGAUGGUGAUGAUUGUUAGUGUUUGUAAUCCUUUUUUUAUGUUCCAAUGGUAUAUUUUUGUUUACUUCAGCCCAUAGAGCUGAAGUUUUUUAGGUUAAUUUUGUAUAACUUCAGCCCAGAGAGCUGAAGUUUUGUUUGUAAUAUGUGUGUUGUUCUGACCUCUUUUUAUAUCAAUGUAAUUGUCACCCUCUUUUGUUGAUAUUUGCUUUAUACUUCUUAGUUUCUUAGAGAUGCUACAACUUUUGUUUGUACAUGCGUUUCUUUUUGUGUGCUAUACGCAUAUGUGUGAGAGUGUUUGUAUGUGUGUGUUUGUUUAAGGAUAUGUAUUUCACGUACUGUAACCUGAAGUUUUUUCUCGUAGAAGUCAUUGCGUACUUUUUUAAUAUGCAACCAAGCCUGCGCAACAAAAAUGAGUGAUUUGUACUUUAGCAGUAUAUAAAAUUGUCCAAGACCUUAUUUUUUUUAUUCCUAUGAAAAAAAUCGCAUUUCAAUUAUGUCAUAUAAUAAAGAAAGUCUAAAUUCAGACCAAGUCAACUGCGUGAUGAAUUCAACAAGUUGAAGAUUGAUCUUCUUGGAUUCAGUGGUCUUUUGCCCGACUACCCUAUAGUUAUCUCCGAUAGUGAUGAUGAUGAGAUAUUUAGAAAAAUUGAGGAGUACUGUGAUGAUGAUGGUGAUGAUUGUUAGUGUUUGUAAUCCUUUUUUUAUGUUCCAAUGGUAUGAUUUUUGUUUACUUCAGCCCAUAGAGCUUAAGUUUUUUAGGUUAAUUUUGUAUAACUUCAGCCCAGAGAGCUGAAGUUUUGUUUGUAAUAUGUGUGUUGUUCUGAUCUCUUUUUAUAUCAAUGUAAUUGUCACCCUCUUUUGUUGAUAUUUGCUUUAUACUUCUUAGUU